AGUGAACGCUGGCGGUAGGCCUAACACAUGCAAGUCGAACGGCAGCACAGUAAGAGCUUGCUCUUACGGGUGGCGAGUGGCGGACGGGUGAGGAAUACAUCGGAAUCUACUUUUUCGUGGGUGAUAACGUAGGGCAACUUACGCUACUACCGCAUACGUCCUACGGGUGAAAGCAGGGGAUCUUCGGACCUUGCGCGAUUGAAUGAGCCGAUGUCGGAUUAGCUAGUUGGCGGGGUAACGGCCCACCAAGGCGACGAUCCGUAGCUGGUCUGAGAGGAUGAUCAGCCACACUGGAACUGAGACACGGUCCAGACUCCUACGGGAGGCAGCAGUGGGGAAUAUUGGACAAUGGGCGAAAGCCUGAUCCAGCAAUACCGCGUGGGUGAAGAAGGCCUUCGGGUUGUAAAGCCCUUUUGUUGGGAAAGAAAAGCAGCAGGUUAAUACCCCGCUGUUCUGACGGUACCCAAAGAAUAAGCACCGGCUAACUUCGUG
rnacentral:rRNA from 1 species